CAGUCAGCCCAGUGGUGUUUCUGGAGAGGUAUUCCUUCAGAAAUGGAGAAGACAGAAAGUUGCGGAGGCAGACAUUUGCAGCAUGUUCGAGUGUGCAUGAUGACCAUAAGUGUGUGUCGAACUUUUCAUGACCUGAUGACUGUGUUUCCCAAUCCUGAUCCUGGAGAACCCCAGCACUGCACGGUUUUGGUGUCUCUCUUAUCUGACAAACACACUUUUAAGGCCUUGGAGUCUUCACUGAUGAGCUGAUGAGUUGAAUCAGGAUUGUUUGCAGAUAAUGCUGUUCUUCUUUUUCAGGUCUACAAUAUCGAGCUCAACAGCUCUUUAAAGAGCCAACCCACACAAACCUUCCUAAAAACUAAAAGAGCUAUUACUGAGUCUCAGCGAAUCUUGCCAUGAUCAGCUCUUCCCAGAAGAGAAGGAAGACCAAGGACAAUAUUUGCUCAGGAUGAGAAAUGAAGACGGCCAUCUUGUGCUCAAACAAACAGAAGUCCUCUGAUGAUCUCAUCAGCCAAAUGAGGGGUUUUGACCAAGUGAUGCUCUUGAAAGGAGUGAAAGAAGAGGAUGUGGUAAAUUGUCUUCAGAGAAAAAGCUUCUCAAAAGGUCUUAAAACAGCUUGAAGAAUGGUCUGGGAUGUUAGGACUGAGAGAUCCUCUGGCUGAGAACAAGCUACACCACAUCAGUGCUGGAUAUCAACCACAAACUGUUUCCAGACACGAGAAGAAGAUCAUGAUGGGGAGAUGAAACCAGUUUAGAUGUGAUGAUAAGGAAUCAUUGUUUUCUGGA